ACCGAAUGAACAGAACUGCUGGAAGUAAAAGCAGGAAACACUGUAGGAGAAGGCCGCCUCUGAAUGCGGCAUACGUUAGCACUAGGAAGCCCUCUUCCACUUGCGCUGACCAGCCUACCACUCGCUUUUCAGAGGUGUGUGCUGUUUCUCAUUCUAGUCUGGAUUCCUACCGGCAGAGGUAUUCAAAACUUAAAGAAAAAGAUUGAGCUCCACCAACAGCACUUGCGAUAUACUUUCUACCACCUUUUCCUCCAUUGAUGCUGCAUUAGUGAGCUUGCCUGCUGCCCCAUUAGCCCUUGUAGCAAAAACCUGGCUCUGGAAUGCGGACAAGCUCUACCGCCUCUGCCCUGUAACAGGUUGGAGGUCUGUUCACUAGAUCAGUCCUGGAUGUUCAUUGGAAGGACUGAUGUUGAAGCUGAAACUCCAAUACUUUGGC